AACGCGAAGAACCUUACCUACUCUUGACAUCCAGAGAACUUUCCAGAGAUGGAUUGGUGCCUUCGGGAACUCUGAGACAGGUGCUGCAUGGCUGUCGUCAGCUCGUGUUGUGAAAUGUUGGGUUAAGUCCCGCAACGAGCGCAACCCUUAUCCUUUGUUGCCAGCGGUUAGGCCGGGAACUCAAAGGAGACUGCCAGUGAUAAACUGGAGGAAGGUGGGGAUGACGUCAAGUCAUCAUGGCCCUUACGAGUAGGGCUACACACGUGCUACAAUGGCGCAUACAAAGAGAAGCGACCUCGCGAGAGCAAGCGGACCUCAUAAAGUGCGUCGUAGUCCGGAUUGGAGUCUGCAACUCGACUCCAUGAAGUCGGAAUCGCUAGUAAUCGUGGAUCAGAAUGCCACGGUGAAUACGUUCCCGGGCCUUGUACACACCG
rnacentral:rRNA from 1 species